rnacentral:rRNA from 2 species
GCGGCGGACGGGUGAGUAACACGUGGGCAACCUGCCUGUAAGACUGGGAUAACUUCUGGAAACCGAAGCUAAUACCGGAUAGGAUCUUCUCCUUCAUGGGAGAUGAUUGAAAGAUGGUUUCGGCUAUCACUUACAGAUGGGCCCGCGGUGCAUUAGCUAGUUGGUGAGGUAACGGCUCACCAAGGCAACGAUGCAUAGCCGACCUGAGAGGGUGAUCGGCCACACUGGGACUGAGACACGGCCCAGACUCCUACGGGAGGCAGCAGUAGGGAAUCUUCCGCAAUGGACGAAAGUCUGACGGAGCAACGCCGCGUGAGUGAUGAAGGCUUUCGGGUCGUAAAACUCUGUUGUUAGGGAAGAACAAGUACGAGAGUAACUGCUCGUACCUUGACGGUACCUAACCAGAAAGCCACGGCUAACUACGUGCCAGCAGCCGCGGUAAUACGUAGGUCGCAAGCGUUAUCCGGAAUUAUUGGGCGUAAAGCGCGCGCAGGCGGUUUCUUAAGUCUGAUGUGAAAGCCCACGGCUCAACCGUGGAGGGUCAUUGGAAACUGGGGAACUUGAGUGCAGAAGAGAAAAGCGG